UACAGAGGUCUCAAGCGUUGUUCGGAUUCAUUGGGCGUAAAGGGUGCGUAGGUGGGCAGGAAAGUCAGUGGUGAAAUCUCCGGGCUUAACCCGGAAACUGCCAUUGAUACUAUUUGUCUUGAAUACUUUGGAGGUAAGCGGAAUAUGUCAUGUAGCGGUGAAAUGCUUUGAUAUGACAUAGAACACCAAUUGCGCAGGCAGCUUACUACACAGUAAUUGACACUGAGGCACGAAAGCGUGGGGAGCAAACAGG
rnacentral:rRNA from 1 species